rnacentral:rRNA from 1 species
AGAGUUUGAUCAUGGCUCAGAAUCAACGCUGGCGGCGCGCCUAACACAUGCAAGUCGAGCGAGAAAGUGGAGCAAUCCAUGAGUACAGCGGCGUACGGGUGAGUAACACGUGGGUGAUCUACCUCUUAGUGGGGAAUAACCCUGGGAAACCGGGGCUAAUACCGCAUAAGCCUUAGCAGGGAAAGCAGCAAUGCGCUGAGAGAGGAGCCCGCGGCUGAUUAGCUAGUUGGUGAGGUAAAGGCCCACCAAGGCAUAGAUCGGUAGCCGGCCUGAGAGGGCACACGGCCACACUGGCACUGAAACACGGGCCAGACUCCUACGGGAGGCAGCAGUGGGGAAUCUUGCACAAUGGGGGAAACCCUGAUGCAGCGACGCCGCGUGAGCGAUGAAGCCCUUCGGGGUGUAAAGCUCUUUCGGCAGGGAAGAUUAUGACGGUACCUGCAGAAGCAGCUGCGGCUAACUACGUGCCAGCAGCCGCGGUAAUACGUAGGCAGCGAGCGUUGUUCGGAGUUACUGGGCGUAAAGGGUGUGUAGGCGGUUCUUUAAGUUUGGUGUGAAAUCUCCCGGCUCAACUGGGAGGGUGCGCCGAAUACUGAGGGACUAGAGUGCGGGAGAGGAAAGUGGAAUUCCUGGUGUAGCGGUGAAAUGCGUAGAUAUCAGGAGGAACACCGGUGGUGUAGACGGCUUUCUGGACCGUAACUGACGCUGAGACACGAAAGCGUGGGUAGCAAACAGGAUUAGAUACCCUAGUAGUCC